rnacentral:rRNA from 1 species
AACGAACGCUGGCGGCAGGCUUAACACAUGCAAGUCGAACGCCCCGCAAGGGGAGUGGCAGACGGGUGAGUAACGCGCGGGAAUCUACCCAGAUCUACGGAACAACAGUUGGAAACGACUGCUAAUACCGUAUACGCCCUACGGGGGAAAGAUUUAUCGGAUUUGGAUGAGCCCGCGUUGGAUUAGCUAGUUGGUGGGGUAAUGGCCUACCAAGGCGACGAUCCAUAGCUGGUCUGAGAGGAUGAUCAGCCACACUGGGACUGAGACACGGCCCAGACUCCUACGGGAGGCAGCAGUGGGGAAUAUUGGACAAUGGGCGCAAGCCUGAUCCAGCCACACCGCGUGAGUGAUGAAGGCCUUAGGGUUGUAAAGCUCUUUCACCGAUGAAGAUAAUGACGGUAGUCGGAGAAGAAGCCCCGGCUAACUUCGUGCCAGCAGCCGCGGUAACAC